rnacentral:rRNA from 1 species
AUGAGCUCUCUCCUCCCCAAGCUGGGAGAGCUGCUCGUAGAGGAGUACAAGCUGAAGAAGAGUGUGAAGAAGGGGAUUGAAGAACUCAAGGCCGAGCUCGAGAGCAUGCAAGCAGCCCUCAUCAAGGUGUCCAGCGUGCCUCUAGAUCAACUCGACCCGCAGGUCAAGAUUUGGGCCAAUGAGGUCAGGGAGUUGUCCUACGCCAUCGAGGACAGCCUCGACUCAUUCGUGACCCGCGUCGAGGGUAAUGAGCCAACCAAGCCCAAAAUCAAGCACUUGCUCAAGAAGGCCCGCAAUGAGUUCAGCAAGUUCAAGGCACGCCAUGAAAUAGCCAAUGACAUCAAAGACAUUCAGAGCCAAGUUAGGAAGAUCAAGGAACGGCGCGACAGUUACAAGAUAGACGAUGUUGAUGCAAAUCCUGCAGCAACUACAGUUGACCCUCGUCUCCCAGCUCUAUACAAAAAGUUGUCUGACCUGGUGGGUAUUGAUAAGCCAAUUAAUGAGCUGAUAAAGAUCCUGUCCGAGGGGGUUCCCAUGCCUGAUAAAAAUCCCAAGAUAGUCUCUAUUGUUGGAUUUGGAGGACUGGGAAAGACAACCCUUGCAAAAGCAUUGUAUGACAAGCUUAGCACAAAAUAUCAACGAGUUACAACAUAUCAGUGUCAUGGUUUUGUUCCAGUGGGUCAGAACCCAAAGGCAAAGAAAGUUCUUCUGGAUAUAGUCUGUGAACUUGACAAGGAGUUGUACAAAGCUGCAACAACAAUGGAUGAAAGGCAGCUGAUCAACGAGUUGCAGACGUUCCUUGCAGGCAAGAGGUACACAUUAACCUCCCUGUAUGCUAGUCAAUAA